rnacentral:tRNA from 1 species
UGUUCUGUGGCUCAGUUGGCAAAAGCGCCGGUCUAGCGAAUACGGAGUCGUGGGUUCAAAUCGCACCAGAACGC